rnacentral:rRNA from 1 species
GGCGAACGCUGGCGGCGCGCUUAACACAUGCAAGUCGAACGGAAAGGCCCUGCUUUUGUGGGGUGCUCGAGUGGCGAACGGGUGAGUAACACGUGAGUAACCUGCCCUUGACUUUGGGAUAACUUCAGGAAACUGGGGCUAAUACCGGAUAGGAGCUCCUGCUGCAUGGUGGGGGUUGGAAAGUUUCGGCGGUUGGGGAUGGACUCGCGGCUUAUCAGCUUGUUGGUGGGGUAGUGGCUUACCAAGGCUUUGACGGGUAGCCGGCCUGAGAGGGUGACCGGCCACAUUGGGACUGAGAUACGGCCCAGACUCCUACGGGAGGCAGCAGUGGGGAAUAUUGCACAAUGGGCGGAAGCCUGAUGCAGCAACGCCGCGUGCGGGAUGACGGCCUUCGGGUUGUAAACCGCUUUCGCCUGUGACGAAGCGUGAGUGACGGUAAUGGGUAAAGAAGCACCGGCUAACUACGUGCCAGCAGCCGCGGUGAUACGUAGGGUGCGAGCGUUGUCCGGAUUUAUUGGGCGUAAAGGGCUCGUAGGUGGUUGAUCGCGUCGGAAGUGUAAUCUUGGGGCUUAACCCUGAGCGUGCUUUCGAUACGGGUUGACUUGAGGAAGGUAGGGGAGAAUGGAAUUCCUGGUGGAGCGGUGGAAUGCGCAGAUAUCAGGAGGAACACCAGUGGCGAAGGCGGUUCUCUGGGCCUUUCCUGACGCUGAGGAGCGAAAGCGUGGGGAGCGAACAGGCUUAGAUACCCUGGUAGUCCACGCUGUAAACGGUGGGUACUAGGUGUGGGGUCCAUUCCACGGGUUCCGUGCCGUAGCUAACGCUUUAAGUACCCCGCCUGGGGAGUACGGCCGCAAGGCUAAAACUCAAAGGAAUUGACGGGGCCCCGCACAAGCGGCGGAGCAUGCGGAUUAAUUCGAUGCAACGCGUAGAACCUUACCUGGGUUUGACAUGGAUCGGGAGUGCUCAGAGAUGGGUGUGCCUCUUUUGGGGUCGGUUCACAGGUGGUGCAUGGCUGUCGUCAGCUCGUGUCGUGAGAUGUUGGGUUAAGUCCCGCAACGAGCGCAACCCUUGUUCACUGUUGCCAGCACGUUAUGGUGGGGACUCAGUGGAGACCGCCGGGGUCAACUCGGAGGAAGGUGGGGAUGACGUCAAGUCAUCAUGCCCCUUAUGUCCAGGGCUUCACGCAUGCUACAAUGGCUGGUACAGAGAGUGGCGAGCCUGUGAGGGUGAGCGAAUCUCGGAAAGCCGGUCUCAGUUCGGAUUGGGGUCUGCAACUCGACCUCAUGAAGUCGGAGUCGCUAGUAAUCGCAGAUCAGCAACGCUGCGGUGAAUACGUUCCCGGGGCU